AACCUGUGUGAAAGCACCUGCUUUCAAUUUACCCCUGCGUUUGCACCUCUUUGAAUGACAUCUGCAUUUGCUGCCAUGCCUUUGAGCCAGGUUUGGCUACUUCCUCCACACAGUCGAGUGUGUUUGGAGCAACGGAGAGUAGAAAUAUAAAAAGAGCAGGUGGGGUUUUAUGUUGCUAAAACUCCAGUUUUAUUUUCUUGGCAGUAAUGUUAAAGACUGUUUCCUGUUUGACCGCUUUAACCACCUGGAUUACCACUCCCUGAAUCAUUGGAACUGCUCUGCCGAAGAUCUCAGUCAUAAGAGGAGAAAAGUUCUCUCGGUGGCAGGGAAAGUGGAACUUUUUUCUGGAAAUGAAGAACGACUACUGUGGUAUGUCUAAGCUUCCAUACGUCAGUCGCAGUACAAAACAACAUCCAGUGCAAGUGUACUGUAUUAUUGAAGCAGAAGUGACCUUUCCAAAAAAAGUGACCAGCGUUGUAAUCAUGGGAAGUUUGUCGGUGGACCAGGAUGGGAGCUUGCAACCAUGGAGGGGUGGAGGGAGAUUGUGAUCGCGGACCAGGGUAGACCCUCCAGGACAGAGCGUAUUGCCACCAGUGCAAACCAUGGUCAGCAAACAGAACAAAUGGAAGAAUGUUAGGAUUGGAAACCUUGCAUGGAGAUGACAUUAAUGGUUUCAGGUUCACCCUCCCAGAGUAGUUUACGUGAUGAUGAUGAUGAUGACAGGAUGAUGGUAUAGAAUGGAAAUAAUUUAAUUGCACAAAUACAUAAUUGCCAUUAAUUGGAUUUUGUGGAUAUAAAUAGUCGGAUCAUAUUUUCCUUCAAAUAAAGCAUUUAAAAUGUUUGGAAACAGUUUGUGAGUAGGCAGACAAUCUCAUGUGUCUUGCAUACAUUGGGGGGAAAAAUAAGCUUUAAGAUUUUAGAGUCCUUGGGUAGGGAGGUGCUCAUAGUGCUGAUCUCCAUUACCAGGGUAGUGGAAGCCACCAUUUAGUAAGGCAAUGAGCAGGGCUUUCUGAAAAUGAUGUAGAUGCAACUCAAGUGCAUGACAAACCACAACCAUCAUUAAGGUAAUCAAAGUGAGAUAUGAGCUGGAAAUAGCUCCACAGUGUGCUCACAUGUAACCACGUCAUGCAACGUAAACAUUGCAUUCCUAAUGCUUGUCAUCUCAAAGAAAAAAAGGUAAAUUAAUGCUGUAGUAAUGAGUCUUCGGUGUAUGUGUGAAACACACAAAAACCUGUGGCAAAACUAAGCUAAAAUCAGAAUAUCACCUCCAAUGAAUGGAUGCUGUUUUUGUUCUUUUUUGUCUUCAUGGUGACAGUCAGAGAAUUGGAGAAAAUGCUCCCACGUGUCUUCCCAGAAGUCUGAAAACAACACACAUUCUGAUGAGCGCAGACCUCGAAAUGUCUUACUGAGCCAUUUAAAAAAUCCUAAAUGCAUCUGAAUCUACUUCUGUGUCCCUGAUGCAAUCAUUUAAGCAGUCACUUUUUCUGAGAGAGGACGUGCACGUGUCAGGUGAUGAGAUGAAUUUCUCAAAAGACACCAGAAGAGAAGAAACAUCAAAAGAUUUUCUCAGCUAAUGGGAACACAUCAGGCAGGACAGAUUCAUGGAUACGUGCCUCCCAGCCACCCAUCUGUCUCAUCCCAAUGGGUGUUUUCGCACAGGAACAUUGCGUGUGGACCAGGGAACGGUCCUAAUGGUGAUCAAUGAUGUGAGGCACAGAGGGGCAGGAUGUGUCGUUCUGUUCUUCCUUGCACUUGUACGCAUAUUGGUUGCAAGCACAAUCCUCAGGUCUGUAAUGUAAAAUCCUGUAAGAUCUUCAGUGUUGUGGUAAUUGGGAGGAGUGUAAAACGAGGCCAUGUCUAGUGAUUAGGAGGUCUGUGACCCUCUAUAGAGUCUUUUUUACUUCCAAUGUUAUGCUUUCAGUGUGGCAUGUUUUUAUUUUUAUACAGCGAAUG